UUGAUGAUGGUGUACUAAUUAAACCUUCUCGUUGACAAUUGUUCUGUUGGACUUCCUCUUAGAAGUCACCUUUAGAAGGGUGAUAUGAGGUAAUCUUUAGAAGCGUGGUAUGAGGAAGAAGUUCUCUUCUUCUUCUUCAAUCUCGAGCCAAUCCGCAUUUUCUCCCGCGAGCCCGAGUUGCUCGUGUGCGGCCAAAGCAUCCGCCGGGUCCAGACUUGUGAGCCCUAGCCGCUCGUCUCUGAUCAGUCGUCGUUCACUUUCUCCGCUUCUUCCUUGCUUCGCUGCCAGUGUGUGUGUGAGGAGAUAUAGAUAUCCAAGCUUCUAGUGUCUGAGAGAUGGAUCCAUAAUCUAGAUCUAAACCCUAAAGUUCCUAAAUCUUACAUCUCUGAAACCUUAGUUGUCAAAACUACUAGAUUUAAAAAAUGUGGUACAUUUGGCAAAAAUCCAUUUUUAUAAAACCAUUUGAUAUUAAUUUUAUAAUAAUAAGUUACAUGAUUUUGUGAUAAAAGAAAGUAUAUGUUGCAUACAAACGAUUUAAACAUUAAGCUAAUACAUUUCCAUUUUUUAUGAUUCAAGCUAACCAUAAGUUAAAAUUUUGUCUGAUUAAUAUUGUAUCAAUUAUAGUUUGCUUUUGUAUGUCAAACAAUAUUUUAGAAUUAAGCAACCUGGUUUGGUUUGAUCUUUGCAAUUUUCCAAUAUUAAAAACUUGGCACAAAAGCAUUUGAUAUUAAUUUUAUGGUAAUAUGUUGCAUACAAAUGAUAUGAUUAUGUGCUAAAAGAUAUGUAGAAUACAAAUUAUUUCAAAUAAGAUAAAUACAUUUCCAAAUUUUUUUAUGGAAAUUGUUUUAGUGUAUAAAAAGAAAAUAUGAUUAUUGGUCCAAAAAGAUAUGUGAUAAAAUAUUGUAUAAAUAUUUUACUUUUAUAUGUCAAAUAAAGUUCUCAUUUAUGAUCAUAUUAAAGUUCGUCAAAUCUUGAACUGAAAUAUCAUUAGAUUUUUUACAUUUUAAAUUUCAAUGAUGGCAAAAAGAAGUCCUCCAAUCUCACAUUUGCUUUUUGCGGAUGAUAGUCUCUUUUUCUGUAAAGCAGAUACAGAGCAGUGUAAAACGGUGAUGGAUAUUAUUGGAAAUUAUGGCAAAGCUUCAGGGCAAGAGAUAAAUUUCAAUAAAUCUUCGGUCAUAUUUGGUAAGCGUGUAGCACACCAAAAGAAAGAUGAACUAAAACAUUUCCUUGGUAUUACUAAGGAAGGUGGAAUGGAUACUUAUUUGGGUAUACCAGAGAGCCUAGGGGGCUCAAAAAAUAAAAUCUUUAAUUACGUUCGGGAAAGACUUAAUGAACGGAUUAAUGGUUGGUCAGCUAAAUAUCUGUCAAAAGGUGGGAAAGAGACUAUGAUCAAGUCUGUUGCUUUGGCUCUCCCAACAUAUGUUAUGUCUUGUUUUAAACUUCCUCAAGAGUUAACAUCUAAGUUAACAAGUGCUAUUUCUAAUUAUUGGUGGAGUUCUAAUGGGAAAGACCGUGGAAUUCAUUGGAUAGCAUGGGAAAAAAUGUGUAUGGAUAAAGAAGAAGGAGGUUUGAGUUUUCAUUCUCUAGAUACAUUUAAUGAUGCCAUGUUGGCUAAACAGUAUUAGAGGUUAAUCCAGUAUCCAAACUCAUUAGUAGCUCGAGUGUUAAAAGGUAGAUAUUUUAGGAAUGUUCAUCCUUUAAAUGCUAAAAAGCCAAACUCUCCAUCGUUUGGAUGGAAGAGUUUUUUUUCUACUAAAAGACUCGUUGAAAUGGGUGCAAGAUGGUCUCUUGGUUCGGGUUUUAACAUAUCGGUAUGGAGAGAUCCUUGGAUUCCCGAUGUUAAUCCACGCCCCGCAAAUGGCAGAGGGAAUUUGUUGCUUCCAAGCCUAAUGGUUAACCAUUUAAUUAAUCCGGUUACUAAAGAAUGGCACCUCCCAAUUUUAUAAGAAUUCUUGGAUCCGGUGGAUAUUCAAAUUAUUAGUGGACUAGCUAUUAGUCAAGUUUAUAAACCAGAUAGGCUUAUUUGGCAUUAUACAAAAUCAGGAAAAUAUACAGUAAAAUCAGGAUAUCGGCUUGCUCGAAGUUUGACAGAAACGACCGAAUGGGGUCCAAAUUAUAGAAAAUUACAAGCACAAGUUUGGAAAGUCAAAGCUCCACCAAAAAUAAAACAUUUCUUAUGGCAAAUUGCUUCGGGAUCCUUGGCAGUUACCUCAAAAUUAGCACAACGAGGGAUUCAUUGUGAUAUUAUCUGUAAAAGGUGUGAGACGGCAGAGGAAACAAUAAAUCAUGUUUUAUUUGAAUGUUCUCAUUCUAAAAAAAUAUGGGAAUUAUCCACAAUACCUAUGGUUUCAGGUUCUUUUCCUCUAAGCUCGGAAUUUUCAAAUCUAGAUUAUCUUUACUGGAGGUUACCACCUCCUCUAGAUGGGGGAGAAAGAACUAAUUGUUUUGCUUGGAUUUUGUGGUUCAUAUGGAAAGACAGGAAUAAAAAAGUUUUCAAAGGAAUUCAAUCUGAUCCCACAGAUAUUUUAAAUCACGCUUUGAACGAAAAAUUAAUGUGGGAAGAUGCUCAAUUGGAACCGAUCGAAACUAGUAUUGAUACGGAAAUUUUGGAAAGCCCUAUCCAAUCUAUAAGAUGUCGGAUUGAUGGCUCUUGGAAAUCUUCGGAUCCAACUAUGGGUAUAGGAUGGUGGUGUUUUCAAGGAAAUGAUCAAACGAUACUACUUGGUGCAAAGUGCCUCCGGAGAUCCCCCUCCCCCCUUCACUCGGAGAUGGAAGCGUUAAUUUGGGCCAUGAAGAAUGUCUUUUCAAGAAGGAUUGAUUGUCAGGCGUUUGAAACAGAUUGUUCAGAGUUAGUCUCGAUGGUACAAUCACCUGAAAAAUGGCCCGCUUUCUCUAAUCUGCUAGAUGCUUUUGGACUGCUCCGUGACUCUUUCCCCUUAUUCUCGCUUUCUCUUAUACCUCGUUUAUGUAAUGUUAAGGCGGACUGCUUAGCCCGUUCUUCUAGACUUUUAUUUUCCGAAGUUACUUUUGUAAACACUACUCCUCCUAAUUGGGCAACCAAUCAAGGUGUUAUUUAAUAAUUAAUGUGUGGUUGACAAAAAAAAAAAAAAAAUUCAAUUAAUAAUAUAUUAUUAUAGUUAAAAAAAUAAAAAUAUCCAGCAGAGAUACACUACUCAUUAAAGUAUUAUAAAAGAAUGAAAGUCUAUAUAUAUGCUUAUGACGCAAUUUCUUACAAUAUCUGUAAUUGGAGACUCAAACAUCUCUGACGGUUGAUUAAUUUUUUUUCUCUCUCUCGCUUCUACCUGUUCGCCCUAGCCGUCAAAGCCAUUUUCUUCCUCUCUUGGCCGGCGAUUGGUGGCUUCCAUAGCACGGUCGCCCGUCCCGUUCACCGUAGUUUCAGCUUCUUCUCAUUAGUUCAUCUUUGUUGUUAAUUUUGCUUCUCAAACCCUAGUUUCGCCGUCUCCUCCCAUUGUCCUUUCCUCCCUUCUUUGGUGGUUCCGACGUGGUGACUAUCAUGGAGGAUGGGUGGCGUAUUGGUGAUCUUCGUAGACGGAUCUGUUCCCCGGUGGAACUGUCUCGUUUUCUCCGAUCUGGUUAUAGAGGUCUGUGUUUUCCGAUCUGUUUCUAGUGUCUCAACAUUCAGCUCUGUUCUCGUUGGUUGGGGAAUCGGGAGUUGAUUUGUUGCAUGUUCCGGCUGGUUCCGAGGUGGAUCUGAAGAGUUCAAGUCCUGGAUUUUGUUGGCUUUGCGGUGGUGCUGUCUCUUGUGAGGCGUGUAUUUAGCCGGCGUUUCGUUUCCAUGACUUGUUUCUGAACAUCCUUUUGGUGUUGCAGCAACGGCCUCUUUGUGUGCGGAUUCUUCCUCUGUUAGUGAGUUUGGAUGACUUCUAGGGUUUGUGUUAUGCUGUGUUUUUCGAUUUGUUGUGAUUUGAAGCCUUAGGUUCAGCUUUUGGGUUGGCUUGUUUGACUCCUUGCUCUGCCUCUCUCUCUGUCCUCCUCUUGGUUUUCGGUGUGGUGAUUUGGCGAUAGGUUCUGUUUUGUGGGUUCUCCAUUCAGAUGCUAGCUUUCUACAAUGGCAUCUACUAGCUCUCUGUUGGAACCUCGUUUGGUUUCUCGGCUGAGUUCUGGACGUUGUGGUGGGUCGAUCCCUUGUCCUUCUCUUUGCGUGGCGUAACCAGUUUUUAGUCUGUAGGUGGCUUUGGCUGGGUCUACGAAGGUCCGUGUGUAAGGAUGGUUGGUCCUAUUUGGCGUUUCCCCUCUCGGAUCUCAAGGUUUUCCUUGAUCCUCCGCUUUCUCAUUCUCAUUGGCUCUAAAGUGGUGGUGGUGGUUAGGUUCUGUGUUCUGAUCUUCUUGCUUCGUCGUCUUCGUUUCUGCUGUGGAGAUGGUUGUGUGAGCUCGUUUAGUUUCCUUCUCGAGGCUCCUGUCUGUUGUCUCUCCAUGGCGUAAAACUGUUCUAUGGAAGUGUUAGUCGACUGCUUGUAGGGAAGAGUUGUCAGUGUUGUGGCUUUGGAGGCUUUAGCUAUUAUUCCUUUAGUUGUAAUCUUUGUAUCGUUAGGCUUGAUAUGUUUGUCUGCCUCUUAUGGCCUUAUGUCUCUGGGGGUUUCUAUGUACCUGCCGGCUUUGUCUCCGAAAGGUUUCCGUUCCUUAUCGGCUUUGUAUACCUUAAAAUCGCAUUCUAUCAAUGAAAUCCUUUAGACGAAAAAAAAAAAAAAAAGACUCAAACAUCUCUAAUCUUCUUUGUGCUCCCUUCAACAUUAGAGAAUUAUGACUCACCAUAAAUCUUGUUGCAUUAGGUUGAGGCUUGUCCUCAAAGAGCCUGCGUUGGUG
rnacentral:lncRNA from 1 species